ACGAACGCUGGCGGCAUGCCUAACACAUGCAAGUCGCACGGGACCUUCGGGUCUAGUGGCGCACGGGUGCGUAACGCGUGGGAACCUGCCCUUAGGUUCGGAAUAACUCCCCGAAAGGGGUGCUAAUACCGGAUAAUGUCUUCGGACCAAAGAUUUAUCGCCUUUGGAUGGGCCCGCGUUGGAUUAGCUAGUUGGUAGGGUAAAAGCCUACCAAGGCGACGAUCCAUAGCUGGUCUGAGAGGAUGAUCAGCCACACUGGGACUGAGACACGGCCCAGACUCCUACGGGAGGCAGCAGUGGGGAAUAUUGGACAAUGGGCGAAAGCCUGAUCCAGCAAUGCCGCGUGAGUGAUGAAGGCCUUAGGGUUGUAAAGCUCUUUUACCCGGGAUGAUAAUGACAGUACCGGGAGAAUAAGCUCCGGCUAACUCCGUG
rnacentral:rRNA from 1 species